UACGUAGGGGGCAAGCGUUGUCCGGAUUUAUUGGGCGUAAAGAGCGUGUAGGCGGUUUGGUAGGUCCGUUGUGAAAACUCGAGGCUCAACCUCGAGACGCCGGCGGAAACCAUCAGGCUAGAGUCCGGAAGAGGAGAGUGGAAUUCCUGGUGUAGCGGUGAAAUGCGCAGAUAUCAGGAAGAACACCCGUGGCUAAGGCGGCUCUCUAGUACGGUACUGACGCUGAGACGCGAAAGCGUGGGGAGCGAACAGGUUAGAAACCC
rnacentral:rRNA from 1 species